rfam:Triticum aestivum genome assembly, contig: Triticum_aestivum_CS42_TGACv1_scaffold_249345_3DL
CAUCUACUCCCUCCGUCCAAAAAUUCUUGUCUUAGAUUUUUUUUUUAGAUACGGAUGUACCUAAUACUAAAACGUGACUUGAUACAUCCGUAUUUAGACAAAUCUAAGACAAGAAUUUUGGGACGGAGGGAAUACUUC